GGUAACUGAGACUGAGGCAUCGCCCCCAGGCAGGCCUAACCUCCCACCCGUGAAUACCUGACCAACGUUGCUUCGGCGGUGCGCGCCCCCUUCCCGGGGGGCGUAAGCCGCCGGGGACCACACCGAACUUCUUGUUUUUAGCGUGUCGUCUGAGCUUGAUACAAGCAAACCUAAUUAAAACUUUCAACAAUGGAUCUCUUGGUUCCGGCAUCGAUGAAGAACGCAGCGAACUGCGAUAAGUAAUGUGAAUUGCAGAAUUCAGUGAAUCAUCGAGUCUUUGAACGCACAUUGCGCCCCCUGGCAUUCCGGGGGGCAUGCCUGUCCGAGCGUCAUUGCUGCCCUUCAAGCCCGGCUUGUGUGUUGGGUCGUCGUCCCCCCCGGGGGACGGGCCCGAAAGGCAGCGGCGGCACCGCGUCCUGGUCCUCGAGCGUAUGGGGCUUUGUCACCCGCUCGUUUAGGGCCGGCCGGGCGCCAGCCGGCGUCUCCAAACCUUUUAUUUUACCAGGUUGACCUCGGAUCAGGUAGGGAUACCCGCUGAACUUAAGCAUAUCAAAACCGGGAAAGAAAAUCCUUAGGGGGUUGUUUGUUUGCCUUU
rnacentral:sRNA from 1 species